GCUCACUUCACGACAUAGACUAAAAUUGGAAUGACCCAGAAAGGAUUAGCAUGGCUCCUGUGCAAGGAUGACAUGCAAAUUUAUGAAGAAUCUAUACUUAAA